AUUGAACGCUGGCGGCAGGCCUAACACAUGCAAGUCGAACGAGCGGCGGACGGGUGAGUAAUGCAUGGGAAUCUGGCUUAUGGAGGGAGAUAACUACUGGAAACUGUGGCUAAUACCGCAUACUAUAGGAUGAGCCCACGUGGGAUUAGGUAGUUGGUGAGGUAAAGGCUCACCAAGCCGACGAUCUCUAGCUGGUCUGAGAGGAUGACCAGCCACACUGGGACUGAGACACGGCCCAGACUCCUACGGGAGGCAGCAGUGGGGAAUAUUGCGCAAUGGGCGAAAGCCUGACGCAGCAAUGCCGCGUGUAUGAAGAAGGCCUUCGGGUUGUAAAGUACUUUCAGUAGGGAGGCGUUACCUACAGAAGAAGCACCGGCUAACUACGUGCCAGCAGCCGCGGUAAUAC
rnacentral:rRNA from 1 species